rnacentral:rRNA from 1 species
AACGAACGCUGGCGGCAUGCCUAACACAUGCAAGUCGAACGAGCCCUUCGGGUCUAGUGGCGCACGGGUGCGUAACGCGUGGGAACCUGCACUUAGGUUCGGAAUAACUCCCCGAAAGGGGUGCUAAUACCGGACAAUGUCUUCGGACCAAAGAUUUAUCGCAUUUGGAUGGGCCCGCGUUGGAUUAGCUAGUUGUUUGGGUAAAAGCGUACCAAGGCGACGAUCCAUAGCUGGUCUGAGUGGAUGAUUAGCCACACUGGGACUGAGACACGGCCCAGACUCCUACGGGAGGCAGCAGUGGGGAAUAGUGGACAAUGGGCGAGAGCCAGAUCCAGCAAUGCCGCGUGAGUGAUGAAGGCCUUAGGGUUGUAAAGCUCUAUUACCCGGGAUGAUAAUGACAGGACCGGGAGAAUAAGCUCCGGCUAACUCCGUU